UCGACCGAGCCAGGCCACAUCUGGCUCCGUCACACCCGGUGCGUUGCAGCCAAAGUUUCCCUGCAUCGAUGUAAUUUUUUUUCCCUUUUACAUCGACAGUUUCCUCUCACCAAUGUUACGAGCUAGCCCACAUUCUAAUCGAGGGCAUCGUGUGCAGCCGGCAGUUUCUGGCUGCGACUGCAAUGGCAAUUGUGGCGGGCAGCGAGCGACUUCCAUUGGCGAUUGCUGCUUGCGGCUGCAGUUGAGACUGCGGCGGGCGGCGGAUGGUGAGCGGCUGCAGCCGUGUAUUGCGGCUGGUGGCGAGCGGGCUGCAGCCGGGAAUCGCGGCGGGCGGCGACGUGGUGGGCGGUAGGUGACCGCGCGUGCGUACAGGUCCGCUCCUCCAUGGCCAUCGGAUGAAUGACCUCAAGCUCGCUGCUGUCUGCGUCGGAUCCAGCGCGUGUCGCUACCAACACUGCACCCGGAGGAACAACCCGCUCCUCAAGGACCGCAGCUAAGAUCUGGGGGAGACCGGAGGCCACCAGCUCACGUACAUUAGUAAUUCAAUUCAUCGUCCUCCUGCCGCUACUGUGCCCCAAUUGUCUACUUGCUUAAUUGCUUGCUAUUCUUAUCCUAAUUUCUUGCUGCGCCCUCAAUAACUUCGAUCUGUUCAAGAUUCGGUCUGUGCGAGCUGCUUUUGCUGAUUAUUAUGCUGCCUUGGAUCUUUGAAUUGACAUGCUCUUUCGAUGUAGCAGGGCAGAGCAGCAGCCACAUCCUGCUCUGGUCCAAGAAUUUAGUAGUUUUAGGAGAUGAGUUGCUUUAUGUUUAGCUCGUGGAGAGAGCCGGUAGACCAAAUUAUGGGGGUAUUUCGUUUAUGGACACCGAUGGUGAAUUAACCAUCUGACCGUAAAACUGCAUCUAAACAAAUCUCUGAAUUUAACCUGUUUUGCUUAGUACAAAAUGAUGGUUGUGGUCGUCCUAGAGAGAAUCAUGGUACAAUCCGAUGCAUAAUGGAUGGACCCAUUCUAGGAUGAGGUGGUACAUCAAACGAAACACCAUACAAGAUUUGGUUUACGGAUGCUUGGAAAUCUCAGGAGAGUUGAGAGGUAUGAUGGGAAAGGUUGGGUAUUAAAGGGAAGCUGUAGUGCUGUUGUGUUUGAGAUAUGUCGUUUAUCUCAGGGUGUUAGCUGUUUCUUAACAACUUUACUUGCUUGUAGUAAUUUUAAACAGCAAUCGGUGCAUCCUUCUACUAAUUAGUCCUUUUUUUUUUUGCAUUAUCCUGGUCUGUAAUUGUUAAAUUUUACUAGACUUAAUUAUUGUUGCUGUAAAAAAAGAAUCUUUAGAUAAGUAAUUAUGCAUCUUUUUAAUUUGUUGGCUUCAAUUGUAUAUAAAAUCUAGUGCUCGUGGGCAUGCUCAGCUAGGUUCUAUGUGAAAGUACCAAAUCGAAUGAAAAUUAUACUGGUUCUAUAAAUGGCAUUAUGGAAUACAUUCUGGUUAGAUAUGUGAAUUAAAUGAAGCUCACACAUGGUUUAUAUGAUUAUUGCAAUGAAUGCUCAGAAUGAGAUAGAGAGAGUGUGGUUAUUUAAAGAAAAUAGUCAGAUUCCAUAUGUUGUAGUAUUUGUAAUUUUUCUCUACAUGGUCAUUUUUGUAUUAAUAAAGCCUCCACACAAUGUUAAUCUUGUUUUUACGUUCUUCGCCAUUAUAUAUUUUUCAGUCUAUGCUGCUGCAUCCUCCUGCUUUCGACAAGAUUAACCCAUCUAGCCGAUUUUGUCUUACGGUUACUAUCUCUCUAAAUGUCUUAGAAUUACUUCCUUAUUUCUAAUGCAAUUGAACUUCAUGUUGCCUUUUUUUUCUUCAGGAAUAUAUUGAACCUGUUUAGGAGGUAAAUAUUUUUCUGAUCCACCUAUAAGCAUUUGACUAAUUUAUCGCUAAACCUUCUUAUUUUAACAUGGCUGGGUUUUAUUCUUUCAUUGAUGCCAACAAGGUUAUUACUUUUUUUUGGAGGAACAAGGUUAUUACUAAGUGUGCAACUUUUCAUUUAAAAAGAAAAGAAAAUAUUGGCUCACCUUCUACACGCCGUAAUGGAAUAAUUUCUGAUCCUUCAUGGAAUGAAUUUAUUAUUUUGUCUCCUUGUCGUAGAUACAUCAGCCACUUAUUGGUGGAACAAUAGAAAAUCAGUUUUAUGUUCUAAUCUCUUCUCGAGCUUACAGAUUUAUCAUAUGUGGCUAAUUCUUGAAACAAACAUUUUUUUAUGUUUGCUCGGCCCAGGCUUUGAUUCCAUAUUGGAAGAUCCAUAUCACCCCUUUUUCUUAAGAUUCAUGCCUCAUCUUUAACCUUUUUUUCCUGUCUUUCAGAGCUAGAUGUUUACCACUGCAUGACUUCCAUAGACAUUUGUUUAUUUACUCUCAUUUGAUAUUGAUAAAGAUCAUCUACAUUGUUAUCUCCAUGCUUUUCCAUUUAUUGCACACCCAUUAUGCUAUUUGAACAUUUCCAUUUCGCAAUUUUGGCAGUAGGCCAAUAGCUACAAGCGAGACACUACUUCUAAACUUUGCUCGAUAUUUAUGUCUAGUUGGACAGCGGGCGGCGGAUGGCUUUGGCGCAACACAAAAUGGUAUAUUGAGAGCACAGAUGCUGCCUUAAUGGUAUUUCUGUUGAUUUAUUUGGAAGUGGGUAUAUGUAGACACCUAGAAAUAAAGGAGUACAUCUGUCCAGCUACCAAUAAAGGAAUUGGUAUGUGUGAUGGACAUCCCCCUCGGCAUGUUCUCUGUUGGCUUCAACAAUUUUAACGGCGGGUUCAGUUUUGUCCAUUGCUGCACGUCCAAGGUCAUCGUCGAGCAACUUGCUUCCCCAGUCACUAACUGACAGUGGGAAGAGGGAUGCAGCAGAGGAUCGGAAGAUGCAGUACAAUGGUCAAUACUGGAGGCUCCCGUCCCCACCAAAGGCCUCAGGCACCCAAUGGCAGUGGCGCCUUAGCUCUUAUCGGUGACUCCAGCAGUAGCGCCUUCGUAUCGGAUAUCAGCUCCCUGGACAAGUCUCUCCGACACUGCUUCCCUACGGGACUAGCUGGCUAUCACAAUUCGUCGGAGGAAAUUCUAGUGACUGUCAAAGGAUAAGCUACGACAUGAGCUAGCGUGCAAGACAGUGACAUAAUUGUGUUGGUCAGGUGUGGUCUUUCCCAGGUAGAUAAGCUAUGGGAGAAAUCAGCGCCGGAAAGCAAACUGUAAUUAGUGGCUCUAAAGGCCUUCUUUUCCAAAGAUGGAAUUUCGUGGUACAUGAGUGGAAAUUAUGGUAUUUGCUACGGAAUUCCUACGUUAUAGACAUCCGAUUCAAUUCAGUUUGUACUAAAUCCUUCUGUGAA